UACAGAGGGUGCGAGCGUUAAUCGGAAUUACUGGGCGUAAAGCGCGCGUAGGCGGCUUUGCAAGUCGGGUGUGAAAUCCCCAGGCUUAACCUGGGAACUGCAUUCGAGACUGCAUUGCUAGAGUAUGGGAGAGGGAAGUGGAAUUUCCGGUGUAGCGGUGAAAUGCGUAGAUAUCGGUAGGAACACCAGUGGCGAAGGCGGUCUCCUGGGGCAUUCUUGACGCUGAGGCGCGAAAGCUGGGGGAGCAAACGGG
rnacentral:rRNA from 1 species